rnacentral:lncRNA from 1 species
AAUUCCAACAGUGGUAUCAGAGCCCGGGGCUCGAUUUAUAAUUGCUUUUAUGUUCUAAUUAAUUAUGGGUUAAUUGAAUUUGAUUUUAGAAAUCAGUUUUCACUUUUCAAUAUUGGAAUUGAGAAUCGAAUGUUUUGGAAUUGGGUUCGUGCCUUUUGCCAAAAACUGUUUGUACGCCGCUCGGCGGCGGCAAUACAAGGGAUGACGGCUGGAAACUUCGAUGCACGAGACAGGCGACGAGUGGCUCGGGGCUCGCCGUUGUGCUGCGCCCGACCACUUGCCGCCGUUUGCGUCGCAUCGCUUCGAGAUUCCGAGCCCACGCCCGCUACCCUCUCUGUAACAGUCCCUCCGGCGCGGUCUUGGACACCUACGCGGAGGGGGCCACUGCUGCUGGAAGAAUCGCGCGGUCGGACCCGCAGAGGGCUGGCGACGAUACCGCUUCAGAUCUGAGGUGCUGCUGCCCCUCUGUAAUGAUCCCGCUGCCUCGGGCUUGGAGUCCGGUGGUGGGAGACGACGGCGUGGUGGCGUGUUGGUGGCGAGACGGCGCAAGAGGCGUCGCACCGGCGGUGGUCUCGCACGGCGGACCUGCGCGCUCGCGGCGAGAGCACCGCUGCUUCCUCCUCAGAAAACGCCUCCCCUCGAUGCAGGCUUGGACUCCAGCGUGCUGACGACCGGCGGGCUUCGUCAGUCGAGGCCGCGCGACGUCGUCGGCGUCACGGAUCCGGCAGCGGCGGCGGGGUGACGGGAAUUGGAGGGAGGCUGCUGUUACUGCAUUUCUUCUUCAAGCCCUAGCUACAGAACUGGGUUUGGGCCACUGGUCUGGGCUGCCACUGCUGGGCUGCGAUGGCAUGGGCUGGGACUGUUUUAAUUAAAUGCCCAAUUGGGCUGUAACAAU